rnacentral:rRNA from 1 species
UGCCAGCCGCCGCGGUAAUACGGAGGGCCCGAGCGUUAAUCGGAAUCACUGGGCUUAAAGGGUGCGCAGGCGGACCGGCAGGCAUGUUGUGAAAGUCCACGGCUCAACCGUGGAAUUGCAAUGUGAACCUCCGGUCUUGAGGUAGGUAGAGGUCGUCGGAACGUUCGGUGGAGCGGUGAAUGCGUUGAUAUCUAACGGAACACCAAAGGGGUAGCCAGGCGACUGGGCCUAUCCUGACGCUGAGGCACGAAAGCGUGGGGAUCAAACAGGAUUAGAUA